rnacentral:rRNA from 1 species
GACGAACGCUGGCGGCGUGCUUAACACAUGCAAGUCGAACGGAAAGGCCCUGCGUUUGUGGGGUGCUCGAGUGGCGAACGGGUGAGUAACACGUGAGUAACCUGCCCUUGACUUUGGGAUAACUUCAGGAAUCUGGGGCUAAUACCGGAUAGGAGCUCCUGCCGCAUGGUGGGGGUGGGAAAGUUUCGGCGGUUGUGGAUGGACUCGCGGCUUAUCAGUCUGUUGGUGGGGUAGUGGCUUACCAAGGCUUUGACGCGUAGCCGGCCUGAGAGGGUGAACGGCCACAUUGGGCCUGCGUUGCGGCCCAGACUCCGACGGGACGCAGGAGUGGGGAAUAUUGCAUAAUGGGAGGAAGCCUGAUGGAACAACGCCGCGUUCGGGAUAGCGGCCUGCUUGUUGUAAACCGCUUUCGCCUGUGACGAAGCGUGAAUGACGGUAAUGGGUAAAUAAGCACCGGCUAACUACGUG